rnacentral:rRNA from 1 species
UACGGAGGGUGCGAGCGUUGUCCGGAAUCAUUGGGCGUAAAGGGCGCGUAGGUGGCCCGGUGAGUCUUUGGUGAAAGCGCGGGGCUCAACCCUGCGUCGGCCAGGGAUACUGCCGCGGCUCGAGCACUGUAGAGGCAGGCGGAAUUCCGGGUGUAGCGGUGAAAUGCGUAGAGAUCGGGAGGAACACCAGUGGCGAAGGCGGCCUUCUGGACCAAUACUGACGCUCAUGCACGAAAGCGUGGGGAGCAAACAGG